UACGUAGGGGGCAAGCGUUGUCCGGAAUCAUUGGGCGUAAAGCGCGUGUAGGCGGCUUCGUAAGUCCGUUGUGAAAGUCCAGGGCUCAACCCUGGAAUGCCGAUGGAUACUGCGGAGCUAGAGUCCGGAAGAGGCGAGUGGAAUUCCUGGUGUAGCGGUGAAAUGCGCAGAUAUCAGGAGGAACACCGGUGGCGAAGGCGGAUCUCUGGGCCAUUACUGACGCUGAGGAGCGAAAGCGUGGGGAGCGAACAGG
rnacentral:rRNA from 1 species